UCCUGGUCAGCGCAUUUAGCCUGAUGAAAGUUUUUUACAGACAUGUUAUUCCUUGCAAUCCAGCCAUAUUUUAAAAGUUAAGUUGAGUCAUUGUGGUUCGAUAUUUUAUAACUCAAAAACUCAAGGCUAAAACUGCGAUCGGGACUUUGCAAAGGAGCAUUUAUUGUCAUGACCCGAAAUAGUGUUACCUCUAAUUUAUAUAGAUUUGUACGGGUGUUCCACUUGUUUUUUGUGUGUUUUCUAAUCACUACGGUGCUUAACGACGCUAUCCAUGUAUCUGUAUAAAUACAGACGUCCACUGCGUAAACGCAUAUUCACUGUUUAAUAUGAUUUGUUACGUAAGGGAUUAAUAAUCACCCAAAAUGAUAAAAUUAACAUAGUAUAUGAUUAUGAUAUUUCAGUAGAACUUCUGGAAACAGACACUCAAAGAUAAAAACUCGCAGUAGCGAAAUCUCAAUGAUGUAGAUAAUUUCUGUAAAAAAGUAAGAUUAAGAAUGUGUCGUAACUUCAGCCACAGGAAUAACGAAAUUCGACCUGUAAAGGAAACACUCAAAGUUACUCCAAAUGAAUAAAAAACUGUACAUAGCUUGCUUUUGUGGGAAGUCACGGUGUUCCGAUAACGACACACGGCCUUGGUCCUCCUCCUCUAUUUAGCGGACGACCUGGUUUGGCUUCAAUUUCCCCCGUGCGCGUUGUUUCGAUGAUUCGAGCCCUUGAAAGAUCAGAUGCUGCAGACGCGUUCGGUUUGUUUCUUGAAGUGCCGGAAACGCUCACUAACGAUGUUUUCUUGAAUGAUUCUAAUGAGAGACGAAGCUUGCGUUGCCGUAGGAAAAAGACACGUCGGUUUUGUUUCUUGAAGUUAUUCACUAAACGAGGAUACUAAGUUGCUUGAAGAAUCUCUUGCUUUGCGUCGUCGGUAAAGAGUUCUUGUUGUUUUCUGAAGUCGCUCACUAAACUAUGAUAAUAAGUUGGUUGAAGAAUCUGCUGCUUCCGUCGUCGUUGACUUCUUAUGAUACAUGAUUUAUUAUUCUGGUUUUUUCUUCGUAGGACGUUGUAGAGUUCUUCUGGUCCACUGCCACCAAUAGUGCUUGUGCCUUGUAUGAUAAGGCGCCCUAUGAGGUAAUGUUAGACUUGCGAUAAUCAUACGCUAAGUCGGUUGGUAUUGCACUUCCAUAUUCGUGGGAGUGUCUUGGGGUUUGUAGAUCACUUACGAAGUCGGUAUUAUGUUCUUGGUUAUUACGACGAUGUGUUAAACUCAUGAUGAUGAUUCGGUGAGGAGGUUCUUGUAGAAAACACAAAGUAUAAAAAUAUAUGUAUUCUUCUGAAGUUUUACAUGCUGAAGAUCAGAUAUGAUUGUACAAGUCUUCUAAUAACGAUAGCUUGAUCGCUUCUGCCAAUGAUGAUGGCUAAUCCUAUUCCUCUACAUGAUAAAGCUUAGGUAAAGAGGUACAGGUCUUCUAAUGACGAUAGCUAACUCUGUUCUCUCUACAUCUCUGUUACAAGUUAUGAAGGAAGCAGAUAGUAGCUCGAACAUAUGAACAUACUAUCAGAUGACAUAGUUACAUACGAACACACAAUCAAAAUGAGACACGCUACAGAUCACGUAGGCCGUAGUUGUCUCAAGCAGGGAGCUUGGACUAAUGUUUAUAAACAAUUGAAUGACUACAGGUGACGGCAUGUUAUCUUAGCCUACAUACUUAUUGUAUACGUCAUCUUUAGCGUCUCUAGUCUGAUCACAUUCCUGCAAGCAAUCUGGUCUUUUAUAUAUAUGGACUAACAUUCCAUAUUUUUAUUAUGUAAACACUUACAGAUAUACUCUCAAAUAGGGAUAACUCUGAAGAAGUCUUGGGGAAAAGAUCACAAAGAAAGACUGCCCUUGCGAGUAGAUAGAAAACCAGAUUUAUGUUAAAAGAUUAAAAUUAAGUUUAAAUUUGUUGUACUGAAUAUUUGAAGCUUUUGAAAUUUUGAGGUAUGUUUGUUACGUUAUUGAUUUACUUAGUUUGAUUUAUUCAAAUUUUUGAAUUUUAAUCCCAAGUUUGGAGUAUAUUAAGAUUUUAUAUAACUUAUUUAUUAUUUGCAUACUAAAGUAGUCCUUUAAAGCCCCGUGCCAUACUAAAGUUCUAAAAGGAACAUGGGAGUUUAAAGGAUUGCGCAACACCUAGAUGGCUCUGCUGGCUCUUUUUACCUGUUUCAGUUCGUCGUCCUCAUCCUUGAUUUUUUAUGGAAGGACGACGGCCUUUGCAUUUCGCGAUUCUUGGAGAAAAACCUGCCUACCUCGACCCGCCACGAAGGAAAAGCAGUUAAAGCUAAGGUUCUAACUUUAGAACCACUGGAUAACAUUCGAAGAUAACUGGUGAACUCGACUCUCUCGUAAGAGAAUGCUUUUGUGUAUUGAAAAAGCACCUACAUUAACUAUGUAACAUUCUUGCCGACCCCCCCACUGUCUGCCUCUUCCGUCGUAGUCUUUGAAACCUACGUCAUCAACACUUCUAGGGAGUCAAUGGUUGAAACUUUCCUGCCCAAAUCCAUAAGUUUUCAAAAAUUUCCAUGAGUGAAGGUCUUUCCACCACAAGCAGUAGUUAUCAAUUUAUGAUUAGCGAUUGGGAACAGGACUUCAGCCAUCGGAGUUAUAUCUAUGCCAUUUCGUAACCUUAACUUUCAUACGAAUAAAUAAUUUUAAAGAA